AUUGAACGCUGGCGGCAUGCCUUACACAUGCAAGUCGAACGGUAACAGGGAGCUCGCUCCGCUGACGAGUGGCGAACGGGUGAGUAAUGUAUCGGAACGUACCUUUUAGUGGGGGAUAACGUAGCGAAAGUUACGCUAAUACCGCAUAUUCUCUGAGGAGGAAAGCAGGGGACCUUCGGGCCUUGCGCUAAUAGAGCGGCUGAUAUCAGAUUAGCUAGUUGGUGAGGUAAAGGCUCACCAAGGCGACGAUCUGUAGCGGGUCUGAGAGGAUGAUCCGCCACACUGGAACUGAGACACGGUCCAGACUCCUACGGGAGGCAGCAGUGGGGAAUUUUGGACAAAGGGGGCAACCCUGAUCCAGCCAUGCCGCGUGAGUGAAGAAGGCCUUCGGGUUGUAAAGCUCUUUCGGCCGGGAAAAAAUCGCAUGGGUUAAUACCCUGUGUGGAUGAUGGUACCGGAAUAAGAAGCACCGGCUAACUACGUGCCAGCCGCCGCCGUAA
rnacentral:rRNA from 1 species